rnacentral:lncRNA from 1 species
CUUGAGCUGAACUUGUAAUGUUGUGACACAGUAACAGUAAGAGAUAGUUAAUAUAUAAUUGUGACAUACUAACUAUGUAUUUAUUGUUCUUUUGAUGAUCAGCUGUGAAUAGUUGUGGUCUGGAGAUCUGGGCUGUCAUCAGAAGCCACCAAGUCCCAUCAAGUUCUGCAACCAACUUACUUGAGCUAAUUGAAGAAACUGAGAGGAGAAGAGUUAACUCACGUCAAUUCUGGAUUUGCUCUGGGUGAUUUACCAGUCCCUAAGGGAGCCAGAGCCAGGAUCUGGAGCUGACACCUUUAUAUGGAGCAGGAGAUGCUUCGAGCAGCCAGCGUGAAAGGAGGCAAAAAGCCAAGUGGCAGGAUAUCUGCUGAGAAAGCUGAGAAGAUGAGUGUCUCGCAGGAGAAAAUGGAAGACAGCAGAUCUCACAUGACAUCCAAAGAAUACAAGCUACAAAAGGAUCAGCAUCUCGUAGAGAAUUCUAAGAUGUUACAAGACAUUACAAGGCCAGUAUGUGCUUAUGGUCCAUGAAGUGACCGUUCCCCCCAUUCUUGGGCCAGACUCUCACACCUGCCUUCAAACUCUUGAAUUUUUCCAGAGAAAACCAAAAGCAAGAACAAAGAUUCUUUCAAUGUCACCAGCAAGUAAAAAGAAUCAAACCCCAGAGCCAGGGCUCUUACCCAGGGCACACUGAAGUCAAUGGAAUCUUUCCCAUUGAAUGCAGUGGAAGUUGGAUUCUGUCUUUGCAUCCCAGUCACCCUUGUUAGGUUUUUCAUGCAGGAAUAGGGCUUCAGUUUUGAAAACUACAGUCUUCUAAUAGCCACGAAAAUAACUGACUUAAAGAUCCAUGUCAUGGUUGUCUUCUUACUAUUAACAUUUUAGGAGAAAAAAGAUAUCUUCUCUGUAGGCAUUUGAGAUACAGAUUAAAAUUUUCUAUUAAUGUUUGGGGGUUUGUUUAUCUUUAAGAAUUCUGAUCAAAUAAUAUAGUAAAUUUUAUGACAAUUGUCAUAGAAAAAUAACUGACGAUAUAAAAAUAACAGAAGAUGUUCAACACUGGAGCCGAUUAUAUCGGCAUAGUUCAGGUGACUUCAGUAGGCAUGAGGCUAUAGCCCAAAAGUUUCAGAAUACAAACCUCUCCUAUUUAUUAGGCUUCCUAGUAUGGAUAACCUUAUUAAUUCACACUUGAAAAUUAUAUAUAAGGUUGGAAUACUUGAUUUGACAAAUAGAAACCCCCAUCUUUUCUCUCCUGAUCUUUUUCUGCUCCUAUGAAGAAAAUAAAAAUAGGAGAAAAAAAAAAAAAGUAACA